CUGUGAGCUCGAUGAGUAGGGCGGGACACGUGGUAUCCUGUCUGAAUAUGGGGGGACCAUCCUCCAAGGCUAAAUACUCCUGACUGACCGAUAGUGAACCAGUACCGUGAGGGAAAGGCGAAAAGAACCCCGGCGAGGGGAGUGAAAAAGAACCUGAAACCGUGUACGUACAAGCAGUGGGAGCACGCUUAGGCGUGUGACUGCGUACCUUUUGUAUAAUGGGUCAGCGACUUAUAUUCUGUAGCAAGGUUAACCGAAUAGGGGAGCCGAAGGGAAACCGAGUCUUAACUGGGCGUUAAGUUGCAGGGUAUAGACCCGAAACCCGGUGAUCUAGCCAUGGGCAGGUUGAAGGUUGGGUAACACUAACUGGAGGACCGAACCGACUAAUGUUGAAAAAUUAGCGGAUGACUUGUGGCUGGGGGUGAAAGGCCAAUCAAACCGGGAGAUAGCUGGUUCUCCCCGAAAGCUAUUUAGGUAGCGCCUCGUGAAUUCAUCUCCGGGGGUAGAGCACUGUUUCGGCAAGGGGGUCAUCCCGACUUACCAACCCGAUGCAAACUGCGAAUACCGGAGAAUGUUAUCACGGGAGACACACGGCGGGUGCUAACGUCCGUCGUGAAGAGGGAAACAACCCAGACCGCCAGCUAAGGUCCCAAAGUCAUGGUUAAGUGGGAAACGAUGUGGGAAGGCCCAGACAGCCAGGAUGUUGGCUUAGAAGCAGCCAUCAUUUAAAGAAAGCGUAAUAGCUCACUGGUCGAGUCGGCCUGCGCGGAAGAUGUAACGGGGCUAAACCAUGCACCGAAGCUGCGGCAGCGACGCUUAUGCGUUGUUGGGUAGGGGAGCGUUCUGUAAGCCUGUGAAGGUGUGCUGUGAGGCAUGCUGGAGGUAUCAGAAGUGCGAAUGCUGACAUAAGUAACGAUAAAGCGGGUGAAAAGCCCGCUCGCCGGAAGACCAAGGGUUCCUGUCCAACGUUAAUCGGGGCAGGGUGAGUCGACCCCUAAGGCGAGGCCGAAAGGCGUAGUCGAUGGGAAACAGGUUAAUAUUCCUGUACUUGGUGUUACUGCGAAGGGGGGACGGAGAAGGCUAUGUUGGCCGGGCGACGGUUGUCCCGGUUUAAGCGUGUAGGCUGGUUUUCCAGGCAAAUCCGGAAAAUCAAGGCUGAGGCGUGAUGACGAGGCACUACGGUGCUGAAGCAACAAAUGCCCUGCUUCCAGGAAAAGCCUCUAAGCAUCAGGUAACAUCAAAUCGUACCCCAAACCGACACAGGUGGUCAGGUAGAGAAUACCAAGGCGCUUGAGAGAACUCGGGUGAAGGAACUAGGCAAAAUGGUGCCGUAACUUCGGGAGAAGGCACGCUGAUAUGUAGGUGAAGCGACUUGCUCGUGGAGCUGAAAUCAGUCGAAGAUACCAGCUGGCUGCAACUGUUUAUUAAAAACACAGCACUGUGCAAACACGAAAGUGGACGUAUACGGUGUGACGCCUGCCCGGUGCCGGAAGGUUAAUUGAUGGGGUCAGCGCAAGCGAAGCUCUUGAUCGAAGCCCCGGUAAACGGCGGCCGUAACUAUAACGGUCCUAAGGUAGCGAAAUUCCUUGUCGGGUAAGUUCCGACCUGCACGAAUGGCGUAAUGAUGGCCAGGCUGUCUCCACCCGAGACUCAGUGAAAUUGAACUCGCUGUGAAGAUGCAGUGUACCCGCGGCAAGACGGAAAGACCCCGUGAACCUUUACUAUAGCUUGACACUGAACAUUGAGCCUUGAUGUGUAGGAUAGGUGGGAGGCUUAGAAGUGUGGACGCCAGUCUGCAUGGAGCCGACCUUGAAAUACCACCCUUUAAUGUUUGAUGUUCUAACGUUGACCCGUAAUCCGGGUUGCGGACAGUGUCUGGUGGGUAGUUUGACUGGGGCGGUCUCCUCCUAAAGAGUAACGGAGGAGCACGAAGGUUGGCUAAUCCUGGUCGGACAUCAGGAGGUUAGUGCAAUGGCAUAAGCCAGCUUGACUGCGAGCGUGACGGCGCGAGCAGGUGCGAAAGCAGGUCAUAGUGAUCCGGUGGUUCUGAAUGGAAGGGCCAUCGCUCAACGGAUAAAAGGUACUCCGGGGAUAACAGGCUGAUACCGCCCAAGAGUUCAUAUCGACGGCGGUGUUUGGCACCUCGAUGUCGGCUCAUCACAUCCUGGGGCUGAAGUAGGUCCCAAGGGUAUGGCUGUUCGCCAUUUAAAGUGGUACGCGAGCUGGGUUUAGAACGUCGUGAGACAGUUCGGUCCCUAUCUGCCGUGGGCGCUGGAGAACUGAGGGGGGCUGCUCCUAGUACGAGAGGACCGGAGUGGACGCAUCACUGGUGUUCGGGUUGUCAUGCCAAUGGCACUGCCCGGUAGCUAAAUGCGGAAGAGAUAAGUGCUGAAAGCAUCUAAGCACGAAACUUGCCCCGAGAUGAGUUCUCCCUGACUCCUUGAGAGUCCUGAAGGAACGUUGAAGACGACGACGUUGAUAGGCCGGGUGUGUAAGCGCAGCGAUGCGUUGAGCUAACCGGUACUAAUGAACCGUGAGG
rnacentral:rRNA from 1 species